UAACCGGUCAACUUUUUCUCUGCACAGCAACGAAUAUAUAGAGGCAGAUAUCUCCCCCCGAUCACUGAUCAUUUCCUGCAGUCCUAUGUAAAACCGAAGUGUUUUUCAGACAGUAAUGGAGAUGAGAAAGUAGAAGAGAAAAUAACCUGAAAACAAGAUCUGUGCUGCACAUGUGACCUUUACAGAAAGCUUAAGUGGUCGCACUGUAUUAGAGAAAUCCAUAAGAGUGGGGGGGAUCAGUGCAGAGCGUACACCGCUCUUCUGCAGGGGACAGGUCACCAACAACAUGGCUGCAAAAUGGAUGGAGCCCGGAGCUAUUGUCCGCUGGUGUCAGCGUCCUUGCUUAUUCGUAAUAAACAGAGACUCUUAUGAGAAGAUGUUUCUCCAUCAGAUGGAUUGUGCAGUUUAUCAAUAACAUUUUGUGACCGUGUAGUUGGGAGACAGAGGACGAUCGGGGAAUCUUAUAAUUUUGUGUAGGACCCUCUGAUAUAAAAUGGUGUUAAAGCGUACCUGUCAUAUCAAAGAAAACACAUAACGAUUCUAUAUAUAUAUAUAUAUAUAUAUAUAUAUACUCACUAGGUCAUGCAGAUUCUUUACAUGUCUUUUUUAUGUGUCUAGCUUCUAUAUUUUAUACGAUUCAAUUCUGGCCCAAUGACACAUGUAGAGAUAUAGAUAAAUCACAACAAUAUAACCCAGAGAGGUUAAAUAAAGC